rfam:Babesia microti strain RI apicoplast complete genome
AGGUAAUUAACUUAAUGGUAAAGUAUUUAUUUUACAUAUAAAAAAAAUUAGUUCAAUUCUAAUAUUACCUU